rnacentral:rRNA from 1 species
AACGAACGCUGGCGGCGUGCCUAACACAUGCAAGUCGAGCGGGAAAAUGGGGGCAACUCCAUGAGUACAGCGGCGCACGGGUGAGUAACACGUAGGUAACCUACCUAUGAGUCUGGAAUAACCUGCCGAAAGGCGGGCUAAUACCGGAUAAGACCACGGGGGCUGUGGCUCCCGAGGCAAAAGGUGGCCUCUCCAUGGAAGCUACUGCUCGUAGAUGGGCCUGCGCGCCAUUAGCUAGUUGGCGGGGUAAUGGCCCACCAAGGCAAAGAUGGCUAGCUGGUCGGAGAGGAUGGCCAGCCACACUGGGACUGAGACACGGCCCAGACUCCUACGGGAGGCAGCAGUGGGGAAUAUUGCGCAGUGGGCGAAAGCCUGACGCAGCGACGCCGCGUGGGUGAUGAAGGCCUUCGGGUCGUAAAGCCCUGUCGGGAGGGACGAAACCUCGGUGACCCAAUACGUCAUCGACCUGACGGUACCUCCUAAGGAAGCACCGGCUAACUCCGUGCCAGCCGCCGCUGUAACAC